GCCUUACUAGGAUAUCAUUUCAGUUGGUAGAGCAUGAGAUGCUUAAUCUCAGGGUUGUGAGUUCGAGUUCCACGCUGGGCA